rnacentral:lncRNA from 1 species
UUCUUCAAGUUUUGGACUCAAUCCGAUAUCCAUUCGUCCAUGAAAUCGGACAAUUCAGGUUCAGACGAAGUUCGUUCUGAAAUGGAGUGGUUGGUGUAUUACAUUGUUUUAGCCAUUGGAUUUCACUCAAAAUUCACAAAAUGACUCCUCCCACAACAUUAUGAUGUUCCCCAAGUUUUGUACUCAAUCCGAUAUCGAUUAGUCCUUGAAAUCGGACAAUUCAGG